rnacentral:rRNA from 1 species
UACGGGGGGGGCAAGCGUUGUUCGGAAUUACUGGGCGUACAGGGAGCGUAGGCGGUUGGAUAAGCCCUCCGUGAAAUCUCCAGGCUUAACCUGGAAAGUGCAGAGGGGACUGUUCAGCUAGAGGAUGGGAGAGGAGCGCGGAAUUCCCGGUGUAGCGGUGAAAUGCGUAGAGAUCGGGAGGAAGGCCGGUGGCGAAGGCGGCGCUCUGGAACAUUUCUGACGCUGAGGCUCGAAAGCGCGGGGAGCAAACAGG